CCCAGUACUAGCGUCCAUAAAGUGCGCGUACGCAGACAUACCUCACACACACAAUUCACACAUAUAUACACACACAUACACACCCACCCACCAUAUGCACACACACAUACACACACCCACCCACACACACCACUUACCUAAGCCAGUCUCCCUCUGUACUGCAGCCUGGUCAGUGUAGCUCCGCCCCUUCUGUCCCGUUUAGCCCCGCCCCCUUUCGGCCCAUUAAGCUCCGCCCCCGUCUGUCCCGUACUCAGCCGCUGUCACACGGGGAGGGGAGGCAGGAGGUUUUUGAUUCUGCAGACGCUGCUGCCAGUGACUGUCAUACAGUGACAGACACAGCAGCAGCAGGGGGGACAGGAGUCACAGGACGGCGCAGCAGUGAAGGGAUUCAGAGCAGGGAAAGCACCUCUCUGUCCCAGCGCCUCCCUGCACUGCAUCCCUUCGCUGAGCGGGUAGCGCCGGGCCUGGGUGUAACCCUCCCUUAACACUUUUAUAUGAGGUUCUUGUUUACUUUGAUAGGGAAUGGUUAUUCAAUAUCGGUGCCUCCACCCAAGCUAUUUUAUUUGGGCUUGCCUGGGAUCUCCGGAUGAAAUUUCACAUCAAGUCAACAUACAUGUUGCAAGGACCGGGUUGUUUCGUUGGGUUUUUUUUUUUUUUUUAACCCUGUGGAUGCCUACUUGGAACGAAGAGGAUCGUUCUCCGCCAGAUUGUUGGUGAGUAUAUUUUUUCUUUUUUACCAGUAUCCUAAUGGAUUCUACUGGAGAAGGGGACGUGAAAGGCGACGUGGGAUGUAGGUGU